rnacentral:rRNA from 1 species
AUUCCAGCUCCAAUAGCGUAUAUUAAAGUUGUUGCGGUUAAAAAGCUCGUAGUUGGAUUUCUGCCGAGGAUGACCGGUCCGCCCUGUGGGUGUGCAUCUGGCUCAGCCUUGGCAUCUUCCUGAAGAACGUAGCUGCACUUGACUGUGUGGUGCGGUAUUUAGGACAUUUACUUUGAGGAAAUUAGAGUGUUUCAAGCAAGCGCACGCUUUGAAUACAUUAGCAUGGAAUAAUAAGAUAGGACCUCGGUUCUAUUUUGUUGGUUUCUAGAGCUGAGGUAAUGAUUGAUAGGGAUAGUUGGGGGCAUUCGUAUUUAACUGUCAGAGGUGAAAUUCUUGGAUUUAUGAAAGAUGAACUCAUGCGAAAGCAUUUACCAAGGAUGUUUUCAUCG